UAAAAAAAAAAUAAAAAAAAAUAAUUGGAAAAAUUGAAUCCCUGUAUUUUCCAAUGUAACAGAAUUUAGAUUUAUCAAAGCACAGAUAAGUUAAAACCUGCCUUUUGACCUAACAUUCAAGGACACUACUAUAAAUAGUACUCUAGGAAAAGUUAUCCACAGCUUUGCUUCCGAGGACUCAAUUAGCAGUAGAAGAGUUAAAGAAAACUUCUUUCUCAGAGACCCUACUUGUUUUCAUUUACCUUGACAGUAAUAAGAGUCUAUUAGGCCAUUCUUGCUAUGG
rnacentral:misc_RNA from 1 species